rnacentral:rRNA from 1 species
UUGGGUUAAGUCCGUAACGAGCGCAACCCUUGUCCUUAGUUACCAGCACGUUAUGGUGGGCACUCUAAGGAGACUGCCGGUGACAAACCGGAGGAAGGUGGGGAUGACGUCAAGUCAUCAUGGCCCUUACGGCCUGGGCUACACACGUGCUACAAUGGUCGGUACAAAGGGUUGCCAAGCCGCGAGGUGGAGCUAAUCCCAUAAAACCGAUCGUAGUCCGGAUCGCAGUCUGCAACUCGACUGCGUGAAGUCGGAAUCGCUAGUAAUCGUGAAUCAGAAUGUCACGGUGAAUACGUUCCCGGGCCUU